rnacentral:rRNA from 1 species
AUGGAAAGCUUACUACAUUGGGAUUUUGCUCCAGGCCUAGCCCUUGCAGAUCAGGUGAGACGAAAAUUUGGGUCUACUGUCCACUUCUCUCCCUCUCGAGACACCAAAGAGUUCUUUUUGGUCGUGUCCUUCUCCUCGGCUUCGUUCCCUCUCUCAGUGGAAACAGUGGGUGUUGCAUUGCAAUGUUGUCUUGGAGGGAUCUCUUCUGGUUUCAAGGUGACUCCGAUCAAUGCUCGAUCUUUUCGCUUCUCGGUUGCUAAUAACAAAGUGGGGCAUUUUGUUUAUGGACUCGAAGAUCGCAUUUGGCCAGAUUUUGUUUGCCAUUUCAAUCUGUUCAAUGGCCGUUUUGACAAAGCUCAUUCUGUUGAUCUACAUUGGCAUGUUGAUACGGAGUUGGUUGAAAUUGUGGACCGAAAAUCCAUAGCCCUCAAAUCCUCCCUUAAGUUUCUGACACCGAAGGGAUAG